CCCGGCUGUAAAAUCUCCAAUAAGCUCGAAUUAAUCAGGGUGUAAAAUUAAUUUUAAAACAUCCCCAGUCACCCGGACCGACCUCCCGCAGCUGGAGACGGGGCUGUCGAUAUUUUAUUCUAUUUAAGGUGGCAGUGCCUGGGCUUGCCUCACACGUUCAUCAGGGGGUCAGUGACGCAGCCCAGCUACAGUGCAGAGGGCAGAGACGUGGAGCUGGCUGGGACUGACAGGAAAGCCAUCCAGCAGCUGUACGGAGUUGAGAAAAGAAGACUGCAGCUGCUGGAAAUCUGAACUAAAGAAGAAAAGUGGACUCACCCAGCAUCCAGGCAGAGCGAAUAUUUCAGGUCAAAGAGUCUUUCCCACCUUCCUGCUGAUGAAGGGGCUUGAACUUGAAAUGUCCUUUGUCUCUUUGAGCAUUUCCAGCAUUUUGGAUUUCCAUCUCACUUAUCUCCAGCUCUGUGGGUGACAUGAAACAAAUGUGAGAUUAUGAACACAAGGGAUUCUGAGCAACACACACAAAAUGCUGGAGAAACUCAGCAAGUCAGGCAGCAUCUACGGAGAGGGAUAAACAGUUGACAUUUCUGACCAAGACCGGAAAGAAAGGGGGCAGAAGCCAGAAGAAAAAGCUGAGAGGAAAGAGUAAAAGCUUGCAGGUGAUAGGUGA